rnacentral:lncRNA from 1 species
AAUUCUAAGAAAUAAGGCUUGCUGGGGAGGCCUGCGGGGACAUCUAAUAUUCUUUCUCUCUGAACUCUGUGCCCCAAAGUCGUGAACUUGCCUGUUGGGGAUUCUGAGUGAAUGCUGGAAAUCCAGAUUCGUUGGGGCCAGAGUUUGCCCUGCGCAUGAGGGAGAGGGUGUGGGGUAUGGGCAGAGGUGGCAAGGGAGGCUUUGUGAAACGUUACACUCUGCUUCCUCAACUGCAGGCCAUUUCUCUGGGCCAGGAGCCAGCUGUUCCCAAAAUGGCCACGAUGCCUCAGGAGGGAGGUUGACACCCUGUGCUCUCAGAAGCAGCUCAGAGCUCAGAGGCAGACCUCUACUCAUGCAAUUCUGCCUUCUGUGCAUGCAAUGGAUUGCUGCCAUCUCCAAUCAGCCACAAUGGGAGGCCACCUGCUAGACAUGGAAGAGCCACCGGAUGGAAGAAGCCUGGGUCUCUGAAAUACUGCUUGGAGUAGACUACUCUGCCUGCAAACUAGGAGCACUGAUUUUGGACUUUUUGGGAGGGACUUCUAUGCCCUCUGCAGUUUGCCUCUUCCUCUGCUAUUUUUUCAUGUAUGUGUAUGUUUUUUGCCUGUAUUUGCAAUGCCAGCCAUCAUUUGCCAUGUCUUCUAGCGGCAACCUGCAUUUAGCCCAGAUCUGCUGUGAUUAUUCCUUUUCACAAACCACAAUGACUCUGGAAAACCUGGCUGUAAACACCAGCACUGCCACCAGCUAAGGAUCUGUGAUCAGGAGUGCCAUCUCACGGUAACAGGAAGACAAAAGUGAAACCGGGCUGAUGCGAAUCACUGGGAAACUGGCUUUGGCACCUCCAGAGAAUGAACUGUUUCAUAGCCUAGCUGACCAUCCAUGAAAAUGGCUGCCUGGAGAGGCAGUGAUCAGCCCAUCCCUGCAGGGUGAAGAUAAGCUUGUGCAGGCCACUGGCUAACACAGUUCAUCCCAUGCCUCCUACAUACCAAGCACUGUGCCAGGCACUUUUCACGUCUGGCAUCCUCAGAAUCCUCCAAAAGGUCGGAUUCAGACAAUCCGGUGGAGCACUCUGAAAUUUAGAGGAAGUGGUCAAAUAGAAUUUUCUGGAAUUAUGGAAAUCUUCUAUUCUGUGCAUCUAGUAUAGUAGAAUCUAGUCACAUGUGGCUUUUGAGAACUGGAAAUAUGGCUAAUGCAACAGAGAAAGUGAAUUUUUACUUUUGAUUCAUUUAAAUAUAAAUGGUCACAUAUGACAUCACUGCCAUAUUGGACAUUGCAGUUCUGGAAGAUGGCAGAUGCAGCCCUCAGAAGAAUUAUCAGCCUGAAUGUCUGGGCGGAGCAGAGCACUACCUUCCCACUCACUCUUCCCCUCCUCUCGCCCCCUCCCCUGCCUCACUUGCAUCAGAUUAUGAUGUGAGCAAAAGCAGGAAACAGCUCUUUUGAUAGGCCUGUGAGACUUGCUGUUCGUUGGAGUAGCUAGGCUGCUCUGACUCAUACAGACCCAAAUCCUGGCAACCACUUUUAUGAAGAAAUGACAAUUCAGUCUACUACUUGUCCAUUUUACAUGCCCAAGGAAUGUGAGGGGCCUCUGCUUGGAUCUAGUUUUCAACCUAGUCUAUGGCAUUGAUUAUCCUUUUAAAAGACAAAAGAGGUGACUUCACGGGCACUUAACAUCUUGGCCAUACUGACCCCAGUUGCACGCUACGUAGGAAGUUUUAGUCCAUUUAAACUGAAGUUCCAAUUUUUUUUUUAACAACUAUUUAAAAAUUGUACAUGUCCCAUACAUGACAGAGAAAGGGUUGUCUGGUUGGAUGAUUUUUGGCUUGCAAAAAGAGAACACAAAAGAAAAGCAUACGUUUUAAUACUCAAGAGACCAAAUUUUCUGCUGAAGAGGAAAUGAACUACAUAUCCAGAAGGGUCCUACCAAGAGGCCAAACAGACUGUGUUCUCUUGGGGGAGUUCUCAGUGGUGAUGAGAACACCACUUUUUUUUUUUUUUUAGUCAUUUUCAAGGUGAGAUAUUGACUUGCUGCUGGAGCAGGACAACUGGUCUCUCUUUCAUUGCUAGCAGCAGAGUAAGGGUCUUGCAAGUUUCAGGCAGCAGCAGAGAAAGGGUCUUGCAAGUUUCAGUCCAAAGCAAGAAGAGCUAGGAUUGCACCAGCUGUCUCACCUACUCUGUGCUCACCUGUUUCUGGAUGAAGCACGGUGACAUCUGUUUUAUUGUAAAGAGAACCAACUUUGGAAUCAAAUGGAACCUGUAUUAAAAUCCUGAAUCCGUCACUAGCUUGGACAAGUCACUUCACUUCUCUGAACCUUGUUUUAUUCCAGUUAAGAAUAAUAGUAAGCCAGUCCCACAGAGCUGUAGCAAGGUUAAAAUGAAUGGUUGUCUGUAGAAGCAUUUAAAAUAGGGCUUCAUACAGAGCCAGUACCUGGGGAGACUGAGGGUUUGAACCACAUAGUUCCACUCUGGCAAAUCACAGAGGGGCUGUAGGAUGGUCCUUUAAGGGGGAUGUGUUAUGGGUUAAUUGGAACAGUGCUUCUUAAACUCCAGUGUGCAUUCAUAUUGCUUAGGGGUUUUGUUUAAAUGCAGAUUCUGAGUUACUAGGAUUAUGCAAUUUGAAUGAGCUUGCAGAUAAUUUCAUGGCUGCUGGUCUCUGACAUCACCUUUGAGAAGCAAAGAAUUAAAGGUCCUGUCCUGAUCUGUCUCCUUCUCCUGUUAUCUGUGCAAAAGAGAUAUACUGUCUACUUUGCAUAGUGAGAUGGCAGGUACAAAAGUAGGAUGAGGAUAAUGUAGCAUGAGCACAGAGAAGGAAAACCUAGGAGGAUGAGUAAAGAAAUCAUGGGAAAAGAGAUAGAUUCAAGGCUUUCAAUCCUGACUAGACUUUAAAUUCACCUGGAGAGCUUUAAAAAAACUAGCCAUUGUCUGGUCCCAGGAAUACUGAUUUAAUUGAUUAGGAUGGGACCAGACAUGACAUGUUAAAGAAAAUAACUCCCCAGAUUAUUCUAGUGUGUAGCCAGGGUUAAGAACUGCUGGGCUAGACAAAUGAGACAACUUUCCCAGAUGGAAAGAAUCAGGAAGGGGCCUUAUCAAGAUAUUAUGUCAGGUUUGGUUUUCAGGGGGCUGAUAGGAAAGAAAAAGAAAUGCUUCAUGGAAAUUGCAGGUAAGACAGGCCAAUUGGUUGAAACCUUGACAAAUCAGACCAUUUGAUCAAAUUGUUCCCAAAAUAUGAAAACUCUGUCUCAACCGAAAUAAUCACUUAGCUCUGGGACUCUAAAGCAACCUGUUUGUCUGUUGGGAAGCUAGGGUAAAUGUGAGAAGUGAAAUCCAUGCCAUUUUUUGGAACUGGAGACUUUUUAAUAAUUUCAUUAACAUUGUCAGUUUGGUUGUCCUCUGUGAUCAGAAGCUGUCGAAUGAUGUUCAUUUGAGUACAGAAGCCAGCCCUUUCUGUAGCAUUAACCAGGCCUCAGUCCAGUGGAUCUCUACAGGGUGCCACGAGCCCAGCACAAGUGCUCCAACACAUUCUGACCAAUGAGCAUAAUUAAUUUGUUGUAAUUGACUUUACACUCUUGAAGCCCAGGUGUAGACUUCCUUCUUGUUACCAGAAGCCAGCUCAGACAUGGCCCUUUGCCAGCCUCAACACAAAGCUCAGCUCUCUUCCAGGGUUCCCUAAGAUCUAGGCACGUCAAGCAUCUGAAAAUAAUAUGGUUUUACAGAAGAUUCCUUACAUCCUGCGGUGGGGCCAGCUCAGGCACUGAACAACGUUUUGUUUGAGCAAUCCCCAUUGGACACAUCUCUCCCCCGAAUCCCUGUCUGCACAGCCAAUAAGGUGAUUCUCCUCUGUCACCCUCCUUAGCCCUUGCCCAUUCUUUUAUUCCUUUACAAGACAGCUGGGUUUAGCCCUGUCCUAAGUGCUCCACACUCGGCUGCCUGCACCCAGGCAUAGCAAACACAAAGCCCUUCGGAACCCCAGGCCCACCCUCUUUAGAUACAUGUUAUAAACUGUUACUGUUGAUGAGGUCAUUCCAGUGGGUGUCAAGCUGGGCACAGCUUCUGGUAAGAAGAAGAAAGCAUAGCAGAUUCACAUCUCAGCCAAAGAACCUGGCUGUGAAAAGCCUUUGCCUAAAAGGUCAUGCAGUCCACAGUUCUGCCACACAACUGCAGCCUGGAAUCACAUGGGGAGUUCUUAAAAUGCUGAUGGCUGGGCUGUACCCCUGAAAUUCUGAUUUAAUUGGCCUGGGGUGUGGCCUGGGCAUUAGAGUUUUGUUAAAGUUCCCAAGUCAUUCCUGCCAUGCUGCCAAAUUUGAGAGACGUUGUUCUAAAGAGGCUUAGCGAUAAAGGCCAAGUGAAAAGGACAACCAGUCCUACGUUAUAGUUGCAAUUGCUUUGUCCUUAUUACUGACCUGUUUGGUCUUGUUUUGAGUCUUUUAAUCCCUUCAACUGAACUCUCCAAAAUUCUACUAUUGGACAGUAUAGCACAGAAAGUUUGGG